GAUGAACGCUGGCGGCGUGCCUAAUACAUGCAAGUCGAGCGAACAGACGAGGAGCUUGCUCCUCUGACGUUAGCGGCGGACGGGUGAGUAACACGUGGAUAACCUACCUAUAAGACUGGGAUAACUUCGGGAAACCGGAGCUAAUACCGGAUAAUAUAUCGAACCGCAUGGUUCAAUAGUGAAAGACGGUUUUGCUGUCACUUAUAGAUGGAUUCGCGCCGCAUUAGCUAGUUGGUAAGGUAACGGCUUACCAAGGCGACGAUGCGUAGCCGACCUGAGAGGGUGAUCGGCCACACUGGAACUGAGACACGGUCCAGACUCCUACGGGAGGCAGCAGUAGGGAAUCUUCCGCAAAGGGCGAAAGCCUGACGGAGCAACGCCGCGUGAGUGAUGAAGGUCUUCGGAUCGUAAAACUCUGUUGUUAGGGAAGAACAAAUGUGUAAGUAACUAUGCACGUCUUGACGGUACCUAAUCAGAAAGCCACGGCUAACUACGUG
rnacentral:rRNA from 1 species